UUUCGGGUUGUAAAGCACUUUCAGUCGUGAGGAAGGUAGUGUAGUUAAUAGCUGCAUUAUUUGACGUUAGCGACAGAAGAAGCACCGGCUAACUCCGUGCCAGCAGCCGCGGUAAUACGGAGGGUGCGAGCGUUAAUCGGAAUUACUGGGCGUAAAGCGCAUGCAGGUGGUUUGUUAAGUCAGAUGUGAAAGCCCGGGGCUCAACCUCGGAAUAGCAUUUGAAACUGGCAGACUAGAGUACUGUAGAGGGGGGUAGAAUUUCAGGUGUAGCGGUGAAAUGCGUAGAGAUCUGAAGGAAUACCGGUGGCGAAGGCGGCCCCCUGGACAGAUACUGACACUCAGAUGCGAAAGCGUGGGGAGCAAACAGGAUUAGAUACCCUGGUAGUCCACGCCGUAAACGAUGUCUACUUGGAGGUUGUGGCCUUGAGCCGUGGCUUUCGGAGCUAAC
rnacentral:rRNA from 1 species